AAGCCUCCCAGCAGCUGAUACCAACUGCUCUAUAUAUAGCCUUCAGGGCCUGGACAUUGUCAGAGCACACACCACGAUCGAGCAAGACACAUGGUUUUCUACCCUCUGCUAGUCAAAGGAAUAUAAGAGUACUGUCUGUUUCUGUUUGGUAAUCGAAUAAGAAUGCCUAAAACGUCCAAUAUUGUCAGACCAGAGGAGUGUCAGCCAGCACGAACAAUUUGGUUUGACCGGAAAAAAUAUGUCACCCUCAACUUCCUGAUUCAGAAACCUAAAGAUGUUAAGGUGGACAUCCUGUCAGACAAGCUGAUUUUAUGCUGCAAAAAACGACACAGAUGAUGUCUUCUACAAUGAGUUGUAUUUCUACGACAAAGUUGAUUUCAAUGACUCCAGAGAGAGAGUGUAUGACCGCACUAUCAAUGUUUUGCUGAGGAAGGUGAAGCCGGAUUUUGCAUGGCCUCGCCUGCAGAAGGAUGAAGCUAGACCCAGCUGGAUUUCUGUAGACUUUGAUAACUGGAGGGACUGGGAGCACGAAGAAGAUGAGGGAAAGGAAGAGUUCGACAGAUACGCGGAUAUGAUCCUAGAGAUGUCUUCCGGGAAUAAAGGAAGAGCACCAGAUAUGGGAGAUCUUAGUGAUUCUGACUGAAGCUCACAUCACCCUCUCUCCUGUGUUUGAAGCCACCAUAACACUUAUCCCACAGGGUCCUGAUCCCAGUAUUAUUAUUGCUGAAGUUUGUAUUAUUCUCCCUGAAAAUUCAAGGUGUUAUUGUUCAAAAUACUGUUUAUAUGUGUGAUUUUUUCCAAGUUAUGUUUUCAUCCA